UGGAGAGUUGGUCCAUAUGUUGAAUGAGCUAUUUGGCAAAUUUGAUCAGAUUGCCAAGGAAAAUGAAUGUAUGCGAAUAAAAAUUUUAGGGGACUGUUAUUACUGUGUAUCUGGCCUCCCAGAGUCCUUGCCAAAUCAUGCUAAAAACUGUGUGAAGAUGGGUCUUGACAUGUGCGAAGCUAUUAAAAUUUAGGCAGAGUCAGUCCAGCAGCAAAGCUUCUAUUCCAGUCCUAUAAUCCUCCGUGCAGAGGGGCUGAUUGGUCUCGGCCCAGUGCUGCUGUGAAGGACAUGAUACCUGGCCAUCCCAAUAAUGAGUCGGAGGCCUCAGAGGUCAGACUGUGGAAAAUGACUGGUGCUGAGUCUAGACGAGAGAGUUGUCUUUCUCUUAUCUCUACCUGUUCUGCAGAAGCCUGGAAGAAUCAAAUUUCUCUAUUAGUAGUUGCUGGCAAAUUGUGGUGUUGGAAAAUAUGCUGUAAAUUCCUGUUAAAGGAUUGCAAGGAAAUCAAUAUAACGUAUAAU